rfam:Salmo salar isolate Sally breed double haploid chromosome ssa13, whole genome shotgun sequence.
UGCAUUCUCUACUGUAAGUCGCUCUGGAUAAGAGCAUCUGCUAAAUGACUAAAA